UAACACAUGCAAGUCGAGCGGAAACGAGUUGUCUGAACCUUCGGGGAACGAUAACGGCGUCGAGCGGCGGACGGGUGAGUAAUGCCUAGGAAAUUGCCCUGAUGUGGGGGAUAACCAUUGGAAACGAUGGCUAAUACCGCAUGAUGCCUACGGGCCAAAGAGGGGGACCUUCGGGCCUCUCGCGUCAGGAUAUGCCUAGGUGGGAUUAGCUAGUUGGUGAGGUAAGGGCUCACCAAGGCGACGAUCCCUAGCUGGUCUGAGAGGAUGAUCAGCCACACUGGAACUGAGACACGGUCCAGACUCCUACGGGAGGCAGCAGUGGGGAAUAUUGCACAAUGGGCGCAAGCCUGAUGCAGCCAUGCCGCGUGUGUGAAGAAGGCCUUCGGGUUGUAAAGCACUUUCAGUCGUGAGGAAGGUAGUGUAGUUAAUAGCUGCAUUAUUUGACGUUAGCGACAGAAGAAGCACCGGCUAACUCCGUGCCAGCAGCCGCGGUAAUACGGAGGGUGCGAGCGUUAAUCGGAAUUACUGGGCGUAAAGCGCAUGCAGGUGGUUUGUUAAGUCAGAUGUGAAAGCCCGGGGCUCAACCUCGGAAUUGCAUUUGAAACUGGCAGACUAGAGUACUGUAGAGGGGGGUAGAAUUUCAGGUGUAGCGGUGAAAUGCGUAGAGAUCUGAAGGAAUACCGGUGGCGAAGGCGGCCCCCUGGACAGAUACUGACACUCAGAUGCGAAAGCGUGGGGAGCAAACAGGAUUAGAUACCCUGGUAGUCCACGCCGUAAACGAUGUCUACUUGGAGGUUGUGGCCUUGAGCCGUGGCUUUCGGAGCUAACGCGUUAAGUAGACCGCCUGGGGAGUACGGUCGCAAGAUUAAAACUCAAAUGAAUUGACGGGGGCCCGCACAAGCGGUGGAGCAUGUGGUUUAAUUCGAUGCAACGCGAAGAACCUUACCUACUCUUGACAUCCAGAGAACUUUCCAGAGAUGGAUUGGUGCCUUCGGGAACUCUGAGACAGGUGCUGCAUGGCUGUCGUCAGCUCGUGUUGUGAAAUGUUGGGUUAAGUCCCGCAACGAGCGCAACCCUUAUCCUUGUUUGCCAGCGAGUAAUGUCGGGAACUCCAGGGAGACUGCCGGUGAUAAACCGGAGGAAGGUGGGGACGACGUCAAGUCAUCAUGGCCCUUACGAGUAGGGCUACACACGUGCUACAAUGGCGCAUACAGAGGGCGGCCAACUUGCGAAAGUGAGCGAAUCCCAAAAAGUGCGUCGUAGUCCGGAUUGGAGUCUGCAACUCGACUCCAUGAAGUCGGAAUCGCUAGUAAUCGUGGAUCAGAAUGCCACGGUGAAUACGUUCCCGGGCCUUGUACACACCGCCCGUCACACCAUGGGAGUGGGCUGCAAAAGAAGUAGGUAGUUUAACCUUCGGGGGGACGCUUACCACU
rnacentral:rRNA from 1 species